rnacentral:lncRNA from 1 species
GCUACUCAGCGCUUACCGUGUUAAUUAUGCAUAUAAUUGAACACAAACACGUAUAUAUAUAAAAACUAAUACACAUACUGUUGCACACAAAAAUAUAUAUAGGUAAACACAAAUAUGCAUUGCACUAGACAAAUAUGUGUGCAAUAUUAGGCAUAUUUGUGCUUAAGUAUAUGCAUAUUUGCAUUCAAUUAUAUGCAUAAUCAAGGUGGCCACCAAGUAAAAGAAAUAAAAAUAAAAAUAAAAACUUAUUUUAAAAAAAACUAAUUAUUACU